UAACUAGAAACAGCUGAAUUCUUAAGAAUUAUUUGAAUUCGAUCCUAAAAAUUCAAUAACGAGCAAGCAAUUGAGGUUGUUUUAAAUUAGCGAUAUGGUAUAAAAAAGCUGCGUUAAGAAGGAGUCUUAUAUCGUUCUUGCGUCGAGUGAGAGACUUCUCAGGAUGAAGGGCGUUCUUCUCGUCACAGCUUGUGGACUGCUCAUCGCUUGUUUUCUUACACCAUGCAAUGGCAUGGCGGGAACGAUACCAAUUCACGGAAAGCGUGACAAGAUCUCCAUGCGAAAGGCUGUCGAGGAGGCAAGAGAAGCAUGCAACAUGGCCAGGAGGAUGACGGAUGAAUACAUACGCGCACUGCGUGAAGACAACUUCCUCGAACACGUGUAGAAUCAAAUACAUCCAACAGAUUAACUAUUGCAUAAGCGUGUGUUGUUAUUUUUCAACUAAACAACAGAGUCUCGUAUUAUAUAGUACAACGUUUUGUAAAUCACAUAAUAGUAUGCAUAAAAUAAAAUAAAAAAAUAUUGAAACCGA